GUUCCCCUUGAACGAGGAAUUCCUAGUAAACGCAAGUCAUCAACUUGCAUUGAUUACGUCCCUGCCCUUUGUACACACCGCCCGUCGCUCCUACCGAUUUCGGGUGAUGAAGUGAACAGAUCGGACUGCUUGUGAACUCGAGUGGAAAGUUUUGUAAACUCCAUUACCUAGAGGAAGGAGAAGUCGUAACAAGGUAUCUGUAGGUGAACCUGCAGAUGGAUC
rnacentral:rRNA from 1 species